rnacentral:lncRNA from 1 species
GUUGAAGAAGGUACAUAUAUGUUGACCUAUAGUGUGUUUUUUUUUUUUUUUUUUUUUUUUUACAAAUUGUGAAUUACUAGUAGAUGGAGAGUUGUCUCAUUGGCAAUCAUGCCACAACUUCUCAUAUAUAGUAAAGUAUCGCUGAUGUAUUAUUUGGCUUUUCUUAUGAAAUUUACCAUAAUGUGAACUUUAGUGAUGACCGGUUGCACCUGUGAACAGCAUGUUGUAGUCAGCAUGUGCAUUAAUAAAAAGGAAAAUAACAUCGACAUUGGAAAGUGAAGUAUUGGAGCCAGC